AGGAGGCCUGAGUCAGAGUUUGCGCCAGUCGCCCUGUGGUGACAGCCGUUGUGCGACGUCUUGGGGAAGCCAUGGGGCGGCAAUGGGGACCCUCUAUGAGAGUGGCGGAGCAGGCGGGCUGCGUGGUGAGCGCCUCGCGGGCCGGACAGCCUGACGCGGGCUCGUGGAGCUGCAGCGGGGUGAUUCUGAGCCGUAACCCAGGCCUAGUGCUGUGCCACGGAGGCAUCUUUACCCCCUUCCUGCGGACGGGCAGCGCGGCGCUGACCCAGACGGGCACCGCCUUCCUGCCGGGCGACAGUUGCAGCGAUGACCUACGUCUCCACGUGCAGUGGGGACCCACGGCUGCCAGCCCUGCCGGUCGCGCGGAUCAGGAACUCCCGGGGCUGUGCACGCCUCAGUGCGCAAGCCUGGGCCUCGAACCCGGCGCCCCGAGCCGGGCCCGCGCGCGGCCUCUGCAGCCCCCGCGACCAGCGCAGCUGCUGUUGCUGCUCAGCUGCCCGGCCUUCCGCUCGCAUUUCGCUCGGCUCUUCGGGGCCGAUGCGGUCGAUCAAUGGCACUUCGUAAGCUCGGCGCCCGACGAUGCGGUUUCGGAGGAGGAAGAGGAGGACCAGCUGCGCGCGCUCGGCUGGUUCGCCCUGCUGCGGGUGCAGCGGGGCGCGGCGGCGGAGGAGAGGCGCGGACCGGUGGUGACCGUGGCACCGCUCGGGGCCGUGGUCAAGGGCGCACCGCUGUUGGCUUGUGGCUCUCCGUUCGGUGCCUUCUGCCCGGACAUCUUCCUCAACACGCUGAGCCGCGGCGUGCUCAGCAACGCGGCCGGGCCGCUGCUGCUCACCGACGCGCGCUGCCUGCCGGGCACGGAAGGCGGCGGAGUGUUCGCCGCUCGACCUGCGGGUGCGCUGGUGGCUCUGGUGGCCGCGCCGCUCUGCUGGAAGGCCCGCGAGUGGGUGGGCCUCACGCUGCUGUGCGCCGCCGCCCCGCUGCUUCAGGUUGCCCGCUGGGCGCUCGCCCGUCUGCACCCCGGCUCCGCUUCCCUGUCUGUGCUGCUGCCGCCACCCGAUGUGAGCACGCCACGGGGCCUGCCUCUGCGCGAUCUCGGACCCCCGUGGGCGGCCGCGGCGGUGCUGGUGGAGUGUGGUACCGUGUGGGGCUCCGGAGUGGUCGUGGCGCCUCGCCUGGUGGUCACCUGUCGCCAUGUGGCACCCCGGGAAGCAGCCAGGGUGUUGGUACACUCCGCUACACCCAAUGCUAAGACAACAGAAGGCUAGCUUGUCAAUUGUUUCCUGUGUCCCCAGGAAUGUGGCAAUCUGGGGACAAGUGGUGUUUGCCACUCAGGAGACCUCUCCAUAUGACAUAGCAGUGGUGAGCCUGGAAGAGGAGCUGAAUGGUGUUCCCACGCCUGUCCCUGCUGGGCACUUCCAUGAAGGCGAGCCUGUCAGCGUGGUGGGCUUUGGUGUCUUUGGCCAGGCCUGCGGGCCCUCGGUGACCUCAGGCAUCCUGUCGGCCGUGGUGCGUGUGGAUGGCAGCCCGGUGAUGCUACAGACCACGUGCGCUGUGCAUGGCGGCUCCAGCGGAGGACCUCUCUUCUCCUCGGGCUCCGGGGACCUCCUGGGCAUUGUCGCCAGCAACACUCGAGACAACAACACGGGAGCCACCUACCCACACCUGAACUUCAGCAUCCCCAUCACGGUGCUCCAGCCAGCCCUGAAGCAGUACAGUCAGACUGGUGACCUGGGUGGCCUCCGAGAGCUGGACCACACCACUGAGCCGGUCAGGGUCGUGUGGCGGCUGCAGCGGCCCCUGUCCGAAGUCCCACGGAGCAAGCUCUGAAGCUACUGUGCCUCCCUGGGAGAAAGCGGACCACUUUAAGGCCACGGGAAGUGUAUUGGCAUGGCAACUUUGACAUCUAAGUCAUCUGCUGGGAUAGAGCCCAAGCCACCCCCUCAUCGUCUUCACCCACUGGCUAACCACGUGCAACUUCUGUAGGUCUCUGAUCUACUUUGGGGUGCUUUCUUGAGCCUGUCUCAUCUGUUUCCCAGGAUUAGACUCAGCAACGCCAUUGUUCCUUCUGGGGGUUCUAGUCCUUUGGCGGGUACCGGUUUGGCAUCUCUCAGCCUGAUAGCCCCUGGUCCACCCGAAGUGGCUCUUGCCUGAUACACUCUACUCAGAGAACUCUUCCUGGAAGCCCAGAGUCCUAGUGGUCAGUAACAAGAGUGUCUUCCCAUUGCCACAGUGAUACACAGGCAAAUCCCCGAGAGCCACCUGGGCCUUAACUCAGACACGGUGCCUUCAUUUUUGUAGCCCAGAGCAGUUGGAGCUGGGGAAUAAACAAUCUGAAUGGCUUGACCUC